CAUGGCUCAGGAUGAACGCUAGCUACAGGCUUAACACAUGCAAGUCGAGGGGCAUCAGUUUGGUUUGCUUGCAAACCAAAGCUGGCGACCGGCGCACGGGUGAGUAACACGUAUCCAACCUGCCUCAUACUCGGGGAUAGCCUUUCGAAGAAAGAUUAAUAAUCCGACUAGCAUAUAUUUCCGUCCACUGGUUUUAGUUAUUAAAGUAAAAUACGUUAGUUGAGGAAUGGGAGGUGCGUUCCGUACUUAGUUU
rnacentral:rRNA from 1 species